rnacentral:lncRNA from 10 species
UCCUCCUCCAGGGCACUGAUCUGCGUUUGAAUUUCUGACAGCUGAGCCACGUAGCCAGCUUCUGUGUCAGCCAGGGUUCCCUCCAGGGAGCUUUUCUAAGAGAAAAAGCAAAUAAAAAAUUCAUGAUGAAAAUAAAUCAUUGGAUGAUUUUUUAAAAAUGCAAUUUUAUGUGGCACUAGAAGUGCACCUUCGCCAUAUAACCUAUAUUGUUAUAUCAUUGCUUCUUUAAUUUUGGUUGGCACUUCUUUUUAAACUAAAUCUUUUAUGCAAAAUAGAGUACAUUAUCUUUAACUUUUAAUGCUUUCUAUAAUCAUAAUGCAGUUCUCCUUAACACUGCCUUUUUUAUGUGCCUAGUGAACCUCUUGGCAAAGAAAGAAAACUGCAUUUGCUUAACUCCCUGUUGGAAAAUGUGAAAAGCUAUUUGCACAUACCAUGGCCAGUUGGGACUGAAGCUCAAUUUCCAGGGCUUGCAGGCUGUUGUAGGCUGAUGAAAGGAGCAGAAGCGGCCGGUGUGUAGCUACUGGCUUAGGUGCUCAGCAGAGAGGAUCUACCUGCCCCAGCAUCAGUGGAGAUUUGUCUAAUGGUCUAAAGUUUACCCUUGGGAUGUUUGUAAAUUUAGGUCAUGAUCCUCUAGUAUAUAUAUAUAUAUAUAUAUAUAUAUAUAUAUAUAUAUAUAUAUAUAUAUAUAUAUUUAUUUAUAAAAUGGAAUAAAAUUUAUUUUUCUCCCGUAACACUUGUUUUCAAGUCUUUAUGUUUCUUACUUCAGUCUGAAGUCAUCAGCAGCCAAUCUGGCAUUGUCAAUGUGCAAAAUGAUCCCAGCAUUUUCAACAGUGGCAGCAAUGAUCUAAAAAAGAUGUUAAUAGUGAGUGAAUCACGAAUGAUUUUUACCUUGUGUCUGCAUGCCUACUUGUAAGGGUAGCUGUUGCCUGUGUUAUUAGCUCUUUUUUUUGUGUGUGUGUAGAGACAGAGUCUCGCUCUGUCGCCCAGGCUGGAGUGCAGUGGCAAGAUCUCAGCUCACUGCAACCUCCGCCUCCCAUGUUUAAGCGAUUCUUGAGCCUCAGCCUCCUGAGUAGCUGGGAUUACAGGGGCGUGCCACUAUGCCCGGCUAAUUUUUUUUGUGUGUGUGUUUUUAGUAGACACGGGGUUUCACCAUGUUGGCCAGGCUAAUCUCAAAUUCCUGACCUCAAGUGAUUUGCCCG